AUACUUCCCCUCUUCUCUCUAAACCUUCUCUUUCUCUCUCUCUCUCUCUCUCUUCCCUCCCUCUGCUACUUCUUCCUUUUCUCUCCACCACCGUAGACCACCGAAGACCACCAUCCAAACCACCACUCUCCUCUUCUCUUUCCGACGAGAAACACGUCGCGCCACCCUCAUCUCCUCCACUCCAUCUCGCUGUCCAGCAACCCCGCACAUAUCUCUCCCUCUCCGAUCUCUUUCCUCCCAGAAAGGAUAGCCACAACAGCAACAACGAACAACAAAGACACCAAAACCCGCCAAUCCACCAAGACGAGCAUCUUGUCCCUCUCCCUUCUCUGAUCUUCUCAUCUCCUUCCUCCGUUUCUAGAUCUUCGGCGAAGCAGCGAACCACUUUCCUGAUGAAAAGAAUUCCAAGACUUCAUUAGUUCAAAGACAGAUCUGUUACUGAUCCGCCCUGGGGUUUGAACUUCAAAGUUCAAGACACGAAGAGUUGCGAGGGAAAGUUGAGAUGCCAUUAUUUCGUUUUACAUCUUUUAUAUUAUUUUAUUCACUUACCUUUUAUUUAGUUUGUAUUAAUAUUGUAAACUCUACUAUGUAUAAUAAUAAAUAAUUGCGGACUAUCUAAAGGGGGAAGGAAACUAUGUGUUACUUGAUAUUUUUUUUAUUGUAACUUAUUUGUGUAUGUGUUGAAGUACGCUAGAGUUUGUUUGAUUAUCUAAAAA